UUCUCUUGCACGCCUCUUCGUAUGUCCCGUUCAUGCAUCUCUCACGAUUCACGGCAGUUGUUCUUGGAGAACUGGGAAAGCCAAAAAUUAGCCCAUUAAUUUUCUCUUCCACGCGGUAGCUACGUGUAUUUCCUCUGGGUUCACAGAACCUUAGAUUUCUUCUCUCAGUUUCUCUUCUCUCUCAUUCUCACAUCUUGCGAUCAAAUUCCCACAGGAGGUUGUAUUUUAAAAUGCGAAUUUUUCCUGAUUUUCGUUUUCCUCUUACCUCUUUGUUUUACUUCCAUCCUUUAUGAAGCAGCUUGAUUUUGCAACGGGCCUUUUUGUUUCGAAGCUACGGGUUUUGCUAGCCGAUUCGCAUCAGGAGCUGCUUCAGUUGGAAGAAUGUGUCAAGCUAUUAGAGGAUGUGUACCCUCAAAGGGAAGCAGCAGGGACUUCUUGGGCUUUUUGAUGGUGCCUGGUACCUAGCAAGAUCUGUGUUGGGAAUCUCAGGGUGAAUGUGGAGAAGAAGGUGACAGGAUGACAGGUGGGCGAUCAGAGCUGAUCUCUACAACAUGAAGUGUUCGUGUUGCAGGAGCUCUAUUCGAUCAAAGAUAUGACCAGAGUGUUGGAUAUGGUUUUGUAAAGUAUAGAGAAAGACAUGCUUCUAAGAUUCUUGCACUAUCCUUC